UGCUCCUUCAUACCACAGAGGAAGUGUCCAC
rnacentral:piRNA from 1 species